rnacentral:rRNA from 1 species
CAAGGCUUGACAUGCAGGGAAAUCUCAUAGAGAUAUGAGGUCCGUAAGGGUCCUGCACAGGUGGUGCAUGGUUGUCGUCAGCUCGUGUCGUGAGAUGUUGGGUUAAGUCCCGCAACGAGCGCAACCCUCGUCCUAUGUUACCAGCGGGUAAUGCCGGGGACUCAUAGGAGACUGCCGGGGUCAACUCGGAGGAAGGUGGGGAUGACGUCAAAUCAUCAUGCCCCUUAUGUCUUGGGCUGCACACAUGCUACAAUGGCCGGUACAAAGGGCUGCGAUACCGCAAGGUGGAGCGAAUCCCAAAAAGCCGGUCUCAGUUCGGAUUGGGGUCUGCAACUCGACCCCAUGAAGUCGGAGUCGCUAGUAAUCGCAGAUCAGCAACGCUGCGGUGAAUACGUUCCC